UACGUAGGGUGCAAGCGUUGUCCGGAAUUAUUGGGCGUAAAGAGCUCGUAGGUGGCGGGUCACGUCGGGUGUGAAAGCCCGGGGCUCAACCCCGGGUCUGCAUUCGAUACGGGUCUGCUAGGGGCCGGCAGGGGAGACUGGAAUUCCUGGUGUAGCGGUGAAAUGCGCAGAUAUCAGGAGGAACACCGGUGGCGAAGGCGGGUCUCUGGGCCGGUACCGACGCUGGAGGAGCGGAAAGCGUGGGGAGCGAACAGG
rnacentral:rRNA from 1 species